AUAGCACGGGGAAACUCGUAUUAAUACCGCAUACGUCCUACGGGAGAAAGGGGGCAACUUGUUGCUCUCGCUAUUAGAUGAGCCUAAGUCGGAUUAGCUAGAUGGUGGGGUAAAGGCCUACCAUGGCGACGAUCUGUAGCUGGUCUGAGAGGAUGAUCAGCCACACCGGGACUGAGACACGGCCCGGACUCCUACGGGAGGCAGCAGUGGGGAAUAUUGGACAAUGGGGGAAACCCUGAUCCAGCCAUGCCGCGUGUGUGAAGAGGGCCUUUUGGUUGUAAAGCACUUUAAGCAGUGAAGAAGACUCCGUGGUUAAUACCCACGAACGAUGACAUUAGCAGCAGAAUAAGCACCGGCUAACUCUGUGCCAGCAGCCGCGGUAAUACAGAGGGUGCAAGCGUUAAUCGGAAUUACUGGGCGUAAAGCGAGCGUAGGUGGCUUGAUAAGUCAGAUGUGAAAUCCCCGGGCUUAACCUGGGAACUGCAUCUGAAACUGUUAGGCUAGAGUAGGUGAGAGGGAAGUAGAAUUUCAGGUGUAGCGGUGAAAUGCGUAGAGAUCUGAAGGAAUACCGAUGGCGAAGGCAGCUUCCUGGCAUCAUACUGACACUGAGGCUCGAAAGCGUGGGUAGCAAACAGGAUUAGAUACCCUGGUAGUCCACGCCGUAAACGAUGUCUACUAGUCGUUGGGUCCCUUGAGGACUUAGUGACGCAGCUAACGCAAUAAGUAGACCGCCUGGGGAGUACGGCCGCAAGGUUAAAACUCAAAUGAAUUGACGGGGGCCCGCACAAGCGGUGGAGCAUGUGGUUUAAUUCGAUGCAACGCGAAGAACCUUACCUGGUCUUGACAUAUCUAGAAUCCUGCAGAGAUGCGGGAGUGCCUUCGGGAAUUAGAAUACAGGUGCUGCAUGGCUGUCGUCAGCUCGUGUCGUGAGAUGUUGGGUUAAGUCCCGCAACGAGCGCAACCCUUGUCCUUAGUUACCAGCGGGUUAAGCCGGGAACUCUAAGGAUGCUGCCAGUGACAAACUGGAGGAAGGCGGGGACGACGUCAAGUCAUCAUGGCCCUUACGACCAGGGCUACACACGUGCUACAAUGGUAGGUACAGAGGGCAGCCACACAGCGAUGUGAUGCGAAUCUCAAAAAGCCUAUCGUAGUCCAGAUWGGAGUCUGCAACUCGACUCCAUGAAAGUAGAAUCGCUAGUAAUCGCGGAUCAAAAAUGCGCGGUGAAUACGUUUCCCGGCCU
rnacentral:rRNA from 1 species